rfam:Cyberlindnera jadinii NRRL Y-1542 unplaced genomic scaffold CYBJAscaffold_27, whole genome shotgun sequence.
UUUGAGUGAUGACUACCUUAAUUUGUAUGUUUUUUCUGGCAUCUCUAAUGUUAGGGCCUUGUUUCAGUACCGGGUUCAAUGAAUACAACCCUUUUAAUAAUCUGACC